rnacentral:rRNA from 1 species
UACGAAGGGGGCGAGCGUUGUUCGGAUUUACUGGGCGUAAAGGGCGCGUAGGCGGCGGGUCAAGUCGAGUGUGAAAGCCCCGGGCUCAACCUGGGAAUUGCGCUCGAGACUGGUCUGCCUGAGUUCGGGAGAGGAGAGUGGAAUUCCCAGUGUAGAGGUGAAAUUCGUAGAUAUUGGGAAGAACACCGGUGGCGAAGGCGGGUCUCUGGGCCGAUACUGACGCUGAGGAGCGAAAGCGUGGGGAGCGAACAGG